AUGUACCCCUGCAGCUCUACGGCUCUGGAGCGCCCCCUACUGCUGGAGCAGAUGACGGUGCGCUAUCAGGUCAUGAAGAGGAAGUGGCAACAGCUGCUUCCUGGAGCCGUUCGUCUACGUCUUAAUGGCACUGAUGCUGAACUGUUGACAGCAGUGAAGUUUUUCGACCAAAGGCAGGACAGAGAGCAGAAAAAACAGCAGUAUGAGUCAGAAGAGGCCAGAGAGAAGAUGUCCUUUCUGCAACUGCAGGCUCAGGAGAAAGAAAUGCAUACAGAUUACAAAGAGAAAAGCUUUCACAAAAUACCAAGAAGACUAUAA
rnacentral:lncRNA from 12 species